UCGCAGUGUGUUACGAAGGCAGUACACGUCUCAAUACUUGUUUGCUCGCCGAUGAAGAACGCCUUAUUUCUCGCGCUAAUAUCAUGCUUGUUCUGUCAGUGGUCUCGUUGUUUCCACUUUUUCUUUGACCUUUCACCUAGUCCUAUCACGCAAGGCCUACAGGCAACGUUACGUCCGCAGGAACUAUUGUUUCGUCGUCGUUUUUACGUUCAUAAUCUUAAAGCUAGCAGCGCGUUCUGCAUUCUAUAUUUAAUAAUUGCUUGGGUUUCUAAGUCACACAAGCAUGAUAUGAAUAUGAGAGACGCUGAAGUGAAGCCCUGCUGUGUUUCCCGAGAAAGACAGGCUUGUGUGAACGCCUCUGACACGCAGUGGAGCUCUACACGCUACAGUGAAAUUACUGUUUCGUGAUUCCGGACUGUUCAGCCACAAAUCGACUCUCCCAUGACGAAAUGUCAAGCUCGUGCAUCAUGACGCUUACAACUAACACUACGCAUGCUCCAUGCGAGCAAAAUUUGUGACUCUCUUGAUACUUACACCUUGUGUAUCAAUCUAUAAUAACCGUCGCUUUUCUUGUGUCUGUAUCGACGUUCAUAUGGAAAUAAAUCCUGUUUGGUACAA